CCUACGGGAGGCAGCAGUAGGGAAUCUUUCACAAUGGGCGAAAGCCUGAUGGAGCAACGCCGCGUGCAGGAUGAAGGCCUUCGGGUUGUAAACUGCUUUUAUAAGCGAGAAAUAUGAUGGUAACUUAUGAAUAAGGAUCGGCUAACUACGUGCCAGCAGCCGCGGUCAUACGUAGGAUCCGAGCAUUAUCCGGAGUGACUGGGUGUAAAGAGUUGCGUAGGUGGCAUAAUAAGUAGCUAGUGAAAUCUGGUGGCUCAACCAUUCAGACUAUUAGCUAAACUGUUAAGCUCGAGACCGUUAGAGGUAACUGGAAUUUCUAGUGUAGGGGUGAAAUCCGUAGAUAUUAGAAGGAACACCAAUAGCGUAGGCAGGUUGCUGGGACGGUUCUGACACUAAGGCACGAAAGCGUAGGGAGCAAACGGGAUUAGAUACCCCAGUAGUC
rnacentral:rRNA from 1 species